UACGUAUGGUGCGAGCGUUGUCCGGAUUUACUGGGCGUGAAGGGGGCGCAGGCGGCGCGCCAAGCCCGAUGUGAAAGCCCGGGGCUCAACCCCGGGACUGCAUUGGGAACUGGCGUGCUGGAGUGCCGGAGGGGCAGGCGGAAUUCCUGGUGUAGCGGUGAAAUGCGUAGAUAUCAGGAGGAACACCGGUGGCGAAGGCGGCCUGCUGGACGGAUACUGACGCUGAGGCCCGAAAGCGUGGGGAGCGAACGGG
rnacentral:rRNA from 1 species